rnacentral:rRNA from 1 species
GACUAAGCGUACACGGUGGAUGCCCUGGCAGUCAGAGGCGAUGAAGGGCGUGCUAAUCUGCGAUAAGCGCCGGUAAGGUGAUAUGAACCGUUAUAACCGGCGAUACCCGAAUGGGGAAACCCAGUGUGACUCGUCACACUAUCAUUAACUGAAUCCAUAGGUUAAUGAGGCGAACCGGGGGAACUGAAACAUCUAAGUACCCCGAGGAAAAGAAAUCAACCGAGAUUCCCCCAGUAGCGGCGAGCGAACGGGGAGGAGCCCAGAGCCUGAAUCAGCAUGUGUGUUAGUGGAAGCGUCUGGAAAGGCGCGCGAUACAGGGUGACAGCCCCGUACACAAAAGCGCAUGUGCUGUGAGCUCGAUGAGUAGGGCGGGACACGUGGUAUCCUGUCUGAAUAUGGGGGGACCAUCCUCCAAGGCUAAAUACUCCUGACUGACCGAUAGUGAACCAGUACCGUGAGGGAAAGGCGAAAAGAACCCCGGCGAGGGGAGUGAAAAAGAACCUGAAACCGUGUACGUACAAGCAGUGGGAGCACCCUUUGGGUGUGACUGCGUACCUUUUGUAUAAUGGGUCAGCGACUUAUAUUCUGUAGCAAGGUUAACCGAAUAGGGGAGCCGGAGGGAAACCGAGUCUUAAUUGGGCGUUAAGUUGCAGGGUAUAGACCCGAAACCCGGUGAUCUAGCCAUGGGCAGGUUGAAGGUUGGGUAACACUAACUGGAGGACCGAACCGACUAAUGUUGAAAAAUUAGCGGAUGACCUGUGGCUGGGGGUGAAAGGCCAAUCAAACCGGGAGAUAGCUGGUUCUCCCCGAAAGCUAUUUAGGUAGCGCCUCGUGAAUUCAUCUCCGGGGGUAGAGCACUGUUUCGGCUAGGGGGCCAUCCCGGCUUACCAACCCGAUGCAAACUGCGAAUACCGGAGAAUGUUAUCACGGGAGACACACGGCGGGUGCUAACGUCCGUCGUGAAGAGGGAAACAACCCAGACCGCCAGCUAAGGUCCCAAAGUCAUGGUUAAGUGGGAAACGAUGUGGGAAGGCCCAGACAGCCAGGAUGUUGGCUUAGAAGCAGCCAUCAUUUAAAGAAAGCGUAAUAGCUCACUGGUCGAGUCGGCCUGCGCGGAAGAUGUAACGGGGCUAAACCAUGCACCGAAGCUGCGGCAGCGACGCUUAUGCGUUGUUGGGUAGGGGAGCGUUCUGUAAGCCUGCGAAGGUGGCCUGUGAGGGUUGCUGGAGGUAUCAGAAGUGCGAAUGCUGACAUAAGUAACGAUAAAGCGGGUGAAAAGCCCGCUCGCCGGAAGACCAAGGGUUCCUGUCCAACGUUAAUCGGGGCAGGGUGAGUCGACCCCUAAGGCGAGGCCGAAAGGCGUAGUCGAUGGGAAACGGGUUAAUAUUCCCGUACUUGGUGUUACUGCGAAGGGGGGACGGAGAAGGCUAUGUUGGCCGGGCGACGGUUGUCCCGGUUUAAGCGUGUAGGCUGGUUUUCCAGGCAAAUCCGGAAAAUCAAGGCUGAGGCGUGAUGACGAGGCACUACGGUGCUGAAGCAACAAAUGCCCUGCUUCCAGGAAAAGCCUCUAAGCAUCAGGUAACAUCAAAUCGUACCCCAAACCGACACAGGUGGUCAGGUAGAGAAUACCAAGGCGCUUGAGAGAACUCGGGUGAAGGAACUAGGCAAAAUGGUGCCGUAACUUCGGGAGAAGGCACGCUGACACGUAGGUGAAGUGAUUUACUCACGGAGCUGAAGUCAGUCGAAGAUACCAGCUGGCUGCAACUGUUUAUUAAAAACACAGCACUGUGCAAACACGAAAGUGGACGUAUACGGUGUGACGCCUGCCCGGUGCCGGAAGGUUAAUUGAUGGGGUCAGCGCAAGCGAAGCUCCUGAUCGAAGCCCCGGUAAACGGCGGCCGUAACUAUAACGGUCCUAAGGUAGCGAAAUUCCUUGUCGGGUAAGUUCCGACCUGCACGAAUGGCGUAAUGAUGGCCAGGCUGUCUCCACCCGAGACUCAGUGAAAUUGAACUCGCUGUGAAGAUGCAGUGUACCCGCGGCAAGACGGAAAGACCCCGUGAACCUUUACUAUAGCUUGACACUGAACAUUGAGCCUUGAUGUGUAGGAUAGGUGGGAGGCUUUGAAGUGUGGACGCCAGUCUGCAUGGAGCCGACCUUGAAAUACCACCCUUUAAUGUUUGAUGUUCUAACGUGGACCCGUUACCCGGGUUGCGGACAGUGUCUGGUGGGUAGUUUGACUGGGGCGGUCUCCUCCUAAAGAGUAACGGAGGAGCACGAAGGUUGGCUAAUCCUGGUCGGACAUCAGGAGGUUAGUGCAAUGGCAUAAGCCAGCUUGACUGCGAGCGUGACGGCGCGAGCAGGUGCGAAAGCAGGUCAUAGUGAUCCGGUGGUUCUGAAUGGAAGGGCCAUCGCUCAACGGAUAAAAGGUACUCCGGGGAUAACAGGCUGAUACCGCCCAAGAGUUCAUAUCGACGGCGGUGUUUGGCACCUCGAUGUCGGCUCAUCACAUCCUGGGGCUGAAGUAGGUCCCAAGGGUAUGGCUGUUCGCCAUUUAAAGUGGUACGCGAGCUGGGUUUAGAACGUCGUGAGACAGUUCGGUCCCUAUCUGCCGUGGGCGCUGGAGAACUGAGGGGGGCUGCUCCUAGUACGAGAGGACCGGAGUGGACGCAUCACUGGUGUUCGGGUUGUCAUGCCAAUGGCACUGCCCGGUAGCUAAAUGCGGAAGAGAUAAGUGCUGAAAGCAUCUAAGCACGAAACUUGCCCCGAG